rnacentral:rRNA from 1 species
UACGUAGGGGGCAAGCGUUGCCCGGAUUUAUUGGGCGUAAAGGGCGCGCAGGCGGCCCGGCGCGUCCGCGGUGAAAGCUCCCGGCUCAACUGGGAGAGGUCCGCGGAAACGGUCGGGCUGGAGCAAGGUAGGGGGUCGUGGAAUUCCCGGUGUAGUGGUGGAAUGCGUAGAGAUCGGGAGGAACACCAGUGGCGAAGGCGGCGACCUGGACCUGUGCUGACGCUGAGGCGCGAAAGCGUGGGGAGCGAUCCGG